rnacentral:rRNA from 1 species
UACGUAGGGGGCAAGCGUUGUCCGGAUUUAUUGGGCGUAAAGAGUGUGUAGGCGGCUGGGUAGGUCCGUUGUGAAAACUCGAGGCUCAACCUCGAGACGCCGAUGGAAACCCUCCAGCUAGAGUCCGGAAGAGGAGAGUGGAAUUCCUGGUGUAGCGGUGAAAUGCGCAGAUAUCAGGAGGAACACCGGUGGCGAAGGCGGGUCUCUGGGCCGAUACUGACGCUGAGGAGCGAAAGCGUGGGGAGCGAACAGG